GAACUUCGGCUCGAACAUCCAACCUAGGUUUGAUAUAACACAACCUGUGUGUUUGGUACCAUCAAGACAAAAAUAACACUGAUCGAGCAAAACUUAUCUUGUCUCGGUUUCUUUGUUGUCUCUGAAGAUUUGACUGCCAUAAAAAAUAUUAAUCGAGAUUCUUUUGUUAUGUUAAUUUAAAGCUUUGUAAUAUUGUCUCGUUUAAUAUGCUUAAAUGUCACUGCAGCCCACGUGAAUUUAUCUUCAAGAAAAGGUUUGUUUUUCUUUGUCCAAGUUGUUUCGAAACUUGUUAACAAUCAUUUGUUAUCAAACCAUGCACCAUCAGCAUUUUCGAAAAAUCUUCAACGAGAGAAAUUUUUUAAGGAUUUUAUUGGUAACUUAACACAGUAAUAAUUCAUUAAAAUUUAAAUUGUUCAGAAGUUAUUAUAUAUAUUCGAAUCAUGAAGUUCAUACAUAGCAAUCCUGCAUCCUGGAAUUUUCGAGAUCAGUUAUAAAAAAAUCCAGUUAAAGUUUUAACUAUUGUUUUAGAAUAUAUACUAUAUAUAUGUAAAAAAAAAUUUAUUUUUUAUUUAUCAAGUUGUAUUUUACGUUAAUUACAAUAAUAAUUGAGAAUUAGGAUA